rnacentral:lncRNA from 1 species
GAAAGUCCCCUCCUUCCUUCCCUUCCUGGUAAUUAUGCAGAGACAUACAUGAAUACUUAUUAUUGUUUGGGGCUUAAAGACAUACUUUGCCUUUUCUGCAUUUCUACUGAAAUAGUAAUUCUUUCAGGGUGAAGCUUCACAUAUGAAGUCUCAAUUCCAGCUGCCACAUCAUUGUGUAUAAAGGCAUCACUCCCUGUGUCCCUGUGGGAAUUUCUUUCCAAUCCCCAAAUUGCUGAGACAAGCACCCUUUCACACUCCAAGGAACUAUGAAUUCUCACUCCAUUUUUUGACACAUGGAGACUUCUCUUUCUUUUUGGGGGUAACAAUAUACUUUAUUGAUGGUACAUGACAAGCAGUCACAAUAAUAAUCUAAAAAGAAAAUUCAUCUGGAAAUCAGAAAACCUGGUUUGCAGAGCUGGGACUGAAGCUUAACCGCACUGAUCAAUGACGUUUUAUCUAAAAUAUACAAGAUAUGCACAUUUAAGACAGUCCGUCUAUUGGAGGGAAAAAAAUUACCGAAACAUGAAAACCAUGAACCAAAACACGCACAUACCUGCAAAUGGAAUUGAUGAAGACACUGGAACAAUGCUCCAUCCCAAUUCAGAGGAACCAUCUAUUGGUUACAUAGCUCUAGACGUAUAUAGAAUUAAAAAAUAAAAUACUGGCACCGAUAUUCUUUGUAGCAUGUGAGAAGUCUAUAUAAUUUUUGGAGUGUUGUGUUUCCAUUUCAAUGAAAUUAAAAAAUAAUUCCCUUCAUUCUUACCUUAGACCACAUUACAAUAAAUACUUCCAAGAGAGUUUAGUGUUCA